AGUGAACGCUGGCGGUAGGCCUAACACAUGCAAGUCGAACGGCAGCACAGUAAGAGCUUGCUCUUACGGGUGGCGAGUGGCGGACGGGUGAGGAAUACAUCGGAAUCUACUUUUUCGUGGGGGAUAACGUAGGGAAACUUACGCUAAUACCGCAUACGAUCUACGGGUGAAAGCAGGGGAUCUUCGGACCUUGCGCGAUUGAAUGAGCCGAUGUCGGAUUAGCUAGUUGGCGGGGUAAAGGCCCACCAAGGCGACGAUCCGUAGCUGGUCUGAGAGGAUGAUCAGCCACACUGGAACUGAGACACGGUCCAGACUCCUACGGGAGGCAGCAGUGGGGAAUAUUGGACAAAGGGCGCAAGCCUGAUCCAGCCAUACCGCGUGGGUGAAGAAGGCCUUCGGGUUGUAAAGCCCUUUUGUUGGGAAAGAAAAGCAGCAGGUUAAUACCCCGCUGUUCUGACGGUACCCAAAGAAUAAGCACCGGCUAACUUCGUG
rnacentral:rRNA from 1 species